UGCAAUUAUCCCUUCUACAAGUAUUAUCACCCAUAAUGAAAAGAGAAAAAUAAAGAUCAAAAUCUGCAUAUAAUAGAUUACUCUUCCAAUGCAACACACGUGGGUAUUAUCAAAUCAUAAAAGCCAUAUAACUUUAUUUAGGUAGGACAAAAAUAAUUACCUCUCAAGCAACAAGGCUGUAAAAGGUGCGGCCGCGUGAUAUAAAAAUAUGUUUUCCCAAUAGUAAUAUAAUCAUAAAUAUAUAAAAUAAAAAUAAAAAGAGAGAGAGAACUUAGAAUCGUAUGAGAGGGGUUAAAACCAAAAAAAAGUAAAUAAAUAAAAAGUCUCUAUACCCAUAAUUAAACUACAGAAAACUAUAGGGUCCAUAUUCUACUAUGGUGUAUUGUGUAUCAUAAACAAAAUGAAUCUGGUUUAUACACGCAAAAAAAAAUCUGUGGAGUGUAAAUACACGAAACUCUAAAACCCUGUUUGGCAGCCAGGAAAACGCAACGAACGGGGAAUGAUAAAUUAGAUGUGAAACUUUUAAUUAAGAGUCAA
rnacentral:lncRNA from 1 species